UGGGCCUGUUUAAAUGCAGUGGUGGAGAAAGUACUCAUACAAUGUACUUAAGUAAAAGUACAAAUACACAGACAAAAAUUUACUCAAGUAAAA